rnacentral:rRNA from 1 species
AUUGAACGCUGGCGGCAUGCUUUACACAUGCAAGUCGAACGGUAACAGGCUGCAAGGUGCUGACGAGUGGCGGACGGGUGCGUAAUGCAUCGGAACGUGCCCAGUCGUGGGGGAUAACUACUCGAAAGAGUAGCUAAUACAGCAUACGAUCUAUGGAUGACAGCGGGGGACCGUAAGGCCUCGCGCGAUUUGAGCGGCCUAUGUCAGAUUAGGUAGUUGGUGGGGUAAAGGCUCACCAAGCCAACGAUCUGUAGCUGGUCUGAGAGGACGACCAGCCACACUGGGACUGAGACACGGCCCAGACUCCUACGGGAGGCAGCAGUGGGGAAUUUUGGACAAUGGGCGCAAGCCUGAUCCAGCAAUGCCGCGUGCAUGAAGAAGGCCUUCGGGUUGUAAACUGCUUUUGUACGGAACGAAACGGCUCUGGUUAAUACCCGGGGCUAAUGACGGUACCGUAAGAAUAAGCACCGGCUAACUACGUG